CUGAAUGAUAACUUCUUUUCCCUUGUUGGUUGUGUAUGGAUUGGAAAGUGAGUUUAAGUAAUUUGAUGUUGAUUAUGCCCUUAAUGCUACUAUAAACACGUGCUGGUAUACAAGAAGUACAUUUUCUUUCGUUCAAUCCUACCGAUAAGCGGACAAAAAUUACUUAUACUGAUCAAGUGGGUAAAAUGCAUAGAGUAAGCCAAGGUGCACCAGAACAGCAUAAUACCAAAUACUACUACAGAAUUAGAAGUGGUGAUUCUUGAGAAUUUUUGUUUGAAGCACCUCCCGAAGUUGAACCAGAUGCCCCUUACAAAUUUGGGAUCAUUGUUGAUGAAGGAAGAUGAGAAAGACAUGAAUGCGGUCAAGAAUGUUGUUCCUUGGAGAUUGAGGAUCUUGUUCCUGUUCGGAAUGCAAAGAAGCAUAUUUGGGGG